UACGGAGGGGGCUAGCGUUGUUCGGAAUUACUGGGCGUAAAGGGCUUGUAGGUGGCCAACUAAGUCAGACGUGAAAUCCCUCGGCUUAACCGGGGAACUGCGCCUGAUACUGGAUGGCUAGAGUGUGGGAGAGGGAUGCGGAAUUCCAGGUGUAGCGGUGAAAUGCGUAGAUAUCUGGAGGAACACCGGUGGCGAAGGCGGCAUCCUGGACCACGACUGACACUGAAAAGCGAAAGCCAGGGGAGCAAACGGG
rnacentral:rRNA from 1 species